GACGAACGCUGGCGGCGUGCUUAACACAUGCAAGUCGAACGGAAAGGCCCUGCUUUUGUGGGGUGCUCGAGUGGCGAACGGGUGAGUAACACGUGAGUAACCUGCCCUUGACUUUGGGAUAACUUCAGGAAACUGGGGCUAAUACCGGAUAGGAGCUCCUGCUGCAUGGUGGGGGUUGGAAAGUUUCGGUGGUUGGGGAUGGACUCGCGGCUUAUCAGCUUGUUGGUGGGGUAGUGGCUUACCAAGGCUUUGACGGGUAGCCGGCCUGAGAGGGUGACCGGCCACAUUGGGACUGAGAUACGGCCCAGACUGCUACGGGAGGCAGCAGUGGGGAAUAUUGCCCAAUGGGCGGAAGCCUGAUGCAGCAACGCCGCGUGCGGGAUGACGGCCUUCGGGUUGUAAACCGCUUUCGCCUGUGACGAAGCGUGAGUGACGGUAGUGGGUAAAGAAGCACCGGCUAACUACGUG
rnacentral:rRNA from 1 species